AGAACGAACGCUGGCGGCAGGCCUCAAACAUGCAAGUCUAGGGGGUGUAGCAAUACAUCACCGGCGGACGGGUGCGUAACGCGUGGGAAUGUACCUAUUGGUUCGGAACAACUGAGGGAAACUUCAGCUAAUACCGGAUGAGCCCGAAAGGGGAAAGAUUUCUCGCCAAUAGAUCAGCCCGCGUCCGAUUAGCUAGUUGGUGGGGUAAAAGCCUACCAAGGCGACGAUCGGUAGCUGUUCUGAGAGGAAGAUCAGCCACACUGGGACUGAGACACGGCCCAGACUCCUACGGGAGGCAGCAGUUGGGAAUCUUGGACAAUGGGGGAAACCCUGAUCCAGCCAUGCCGCGUGAGUGAUGAAGGCCUUCGGGUUGUAAAACUCUUUCGACGGGACGAUAAUGAGGUACCCGUAGAAGAAGCUCGGCUAACUUCGUGCCAGCAGCCGC
rnacentral:rRNA from 1 species